rnacentral:rRNA from 1 species
GAGGAUGAUCAGCCACACUGGAACUGAGACACGGUCCAGACUCCUACGGGAGGCAGCAGUGGGGAAUAUUGCACAAUGGGCGCAAGCCUGAUGCAGCCAUGCCGCGUGUGUGAAGAAGGCCUUCGGGUUGUAAAGCACUUUCAGUCAGGAGGAAAGAUUAGUAGUUAAUACCUGCUAGUUGUGACGUUACUGACAGAAGA